rnacentral:rRNA from 1 species
GAUGAACGCUAGCUACAGGCUUAACACAUGUAAGUCGAGGGGCAGCGGGAUUGAAGCUUGCUUCAAUUGCCGGCGACCGGCGCACGGGUGAGUAACGCGUAUCCAACCUUCCGUACACUCAGGGAUAGCCUUUCGAAAGAAAGAUUAAUACCUGAUGGUAUGAUGAGAUUGCAUGAUAUCAUCAUUAAAGAUUUAUCGGUGUACGAUGGGGAUGCGUUCCAUUAGGUAGUAGGCGGGGUAACGGCCCACCUAGCCAACGAUGGAUAGGGGUUCUGAGAGGAAGGUCCCCCACAUUGGAACUGAGACACGGUCCAAACUCCUACGGGAGGCAGCAGUGAGGAAUAUUGGUCAAUGGACGAGAGUCUGAACCAGCCAAGUAGCGUGAAGGAUGAAGGUCCUACGGAUUGUAAACUUCUUUUAUAAGGGAAUAAACCCUCCCACGUGUGGGAGCUUGUAUGUACCUUAUGAAUAAGCAUCGGCUAACUCCGUG